UACGUAGGGGGCAAGCGUUAUCCGGAUUUACUGGGUGUAAAGGGAGCGUAGGCGGCAAGGUAAGCCAGAAGUGAAAGCCCGCGGCUCAGCUGCGGGACUGCUUUUGGAACUAUCUAGCUAGAUUGCAGGAGAGGUAAGUGGAAUUCCUAGUGUAGCGGUGAAAUGCGUAGAUAUUAGGAGGAACACCAGUGGCGAAGGCGGCUUACUGGACUGUAAAUGACGCUGAGGCUCGAAAGCGUGGGGAGCAAACAGG
rnacentral:rRNA from 1 species